rnacentral:rRNA from 1 species
GCACGUACGCCAGUAUGUGUGGAGCCGUCCUUGAAAUACCACCCUUGUAGUGUUGAUGUUCUAACGUCGACCCCUUAUCGGGGUUGCGGACAGUGCCUGGUGGGUAGUUUGACUGGGGCGGUCUCCUCCCAAAGAGUAACGGAGGAGCACGAAGGUGGGCUAAUCACGGUUGGACAUCGUGAGGUUAGUGCAAUGGCAUAAGCCCGCUUGACUGCGAGAAUGACAAUUCGAGCAGGUGCGAAAGCAGGUCAUAGUGAUCCGGUGGUUCUGAAUGGAAGGGCCAUCGCUCAACGGAUAAAAGGUACUCCGGGGAUAACAGGCUGAUACCGCCCAAGAGUUCAUAUCGACGGCGGUGUUUGGCACCUCGAUGUCGGCUCAUCACAUCCUGGGGCUGAAGUCGGUCCCAAGGGUAUGGCUGUUCGCCAUUUAAAGUGGUACGCGAGCUGGGUUUAGAACGUCGUGAGACAGUUCGGUCCCUAUCUGCCGUGGGCGUUGGAAGAUUGAAGGGGGCUGCUCCUAGUACGAGAGGACCGGAGUGGACGAACCUCUGGUGUUCGGGUUGUGUCGCCAGACGCAUUGCCCGGUAGCUAAGUUCGGAAUCGAUAACCGCUGAAAGCAUCUAAG